AUAAUGGGUCAGCGACUUAUAUUCUGUAGCAAGGUUAACCGAAUAGGGGAGCCGAAGGGAAACCGAGUCUUAACUGGGCGUUAAGUUGCAGGGUAUAGACCCGAAACCCGGUGAUCUAGCCAUGGGCAGGUUGAAGGUUGGGUAACACUAACUGGAGGACCGAACCGACUAAUGUUGAAAAAUUAGCGGAUGACUUGUGGCUGGGGGUGAAAGGCCAAUCAAACCGGGAGAUAGCUGGUUCUCCCCGAAAGCUAUUUAGGUAGCGCCUCGUGAAUUCAUCUCCGGGGGUAGAGCACUGUUUCGGCAAGGGGGUCAUCCCGACUUACCAACCCGAUGCAAACUGCGAAUACCGGAGAAUGUUAUCACGGGAGACACACGGCGGGUGCUAACGUCCGUCGUGAAGAGGGAAACAACCCAGACCGCCAGCUAAGGUCCCAAAGUCAUGGUUAAGUGGGAAACGAUGUGGGAAGGCCCAGACAGCCAGGAUGUUGGCUUAGAAGCAGCCAUCAUUUAAAGAAAGCGUAAUAGCUCACUGGUCGAGUCGGCCUGCGCGGAAGAUGUAACGGGGCUAAACCAUGCACCGAAGCUGCGGCAGCGACGCUGAUGCGUUGUUGGGUAGGGGAGCGUUCUGUAAGCCUGUGAAGGUGUGCUGUGAGGCAUGCUGGAGGUAUCAGAAGUGCGAAUGCUGACAUAAGUAACGAUAAAGCGGGUGAAAAGCCCGCUCGCCGGAAGACCAAGGGUUCCUGUCCAACGUUAAUCGGGGCAGGGUGAGUCGACCCCUAAGGCGAGGCCGAAAGGCGUAGUCGAUGGGAAACAGGUUAAUAUUCCUGUACUUGGUGUUACUGCGAAGGGGGGACGGAGAAGGCUAUGUUGGCCGGGCGACGGUUGUCCCGGUUUAAGCGUGUAGGCUGGUUUUCCAGGCAAAUCCGGAAAAUCAAGGCUGAGGCGUGAUGACGAGGCACUACGGUGCUGAAGCAACAAAUGCCCUGCUUCCAGGAAAAGCCUCUAAGCAUCAGGUAACAUCAAAUCGUACCCCAAACCGACACAGGUGGUCAGGUAGAGAAUACCAAGGCGCUUGAGAGAACUCGGGUGAAGGAACUAGGCAAAAUGGUGCCGUAACUUCGGGAGAAGGCACGCUGAUAUGUAGGUGAAGUCCCUCGCGGAUGGAGCUGAAAUCAGUCGAAGAUACCAGCUGGCUGCAACUGUUUAUUAAAAACACAGCACUGUGCAAACACGAAAGUGGACGUAUACGGUGUGACGCCUGCCCGGUGCCGGAAGGUUAAUUGAUGGGGUCAGCGCAAGCGAAGCUCUUGAUCGAAGCCCCGGUAAACGGCGGCCGUAACUAUAACGGUCCUAAGGUAGCGAAAUUCCUUGUCGGGUAAGUUCCGACCUGCACGAAUGGCGUAAUGAUGGCCAGGCUGUCUCCACCCGAGACUCAGUGAAAUUGAACUCGCUGUGAAGAUGCAGUGUACCCGCGGCAAGACGGAAAGACCCCGUGAACCUUUACUAUAGCUUGACACUGAACAUUGAGCCUUGAUGUGUAGGAUAGGUGGGAGGCUUUGAAGUGUGGACGCCAGUCUG
rnacentral:rRNA from 1 species